rnacentral:tRNA from 1 species
GGCUCGGUGGGUUUAGGGGUAUGAUUCUUGCUUCGGGUGCAAGAGGUCAAGUGUUCAAAUCACGGCCGAGCCC